GCCUGAGUAGCUCAAUUGGUUAGAGCAUGGUGCUGGUAACACCAAGGUUAUGGGUUCGAUCCCUGUAUUGGACA